GACGAACGCUGGCGGCGUGCUUAACACAUGCAAGUCGAACGGAAAGGCCCUGCUUUUGUGGGGUGCUCGAGUGGCGAACGGGUGAGUAACCCGUGAGUAACCUGCCCUUGACUUUGGGAUAACUUCAGGAAACUGGGGCUAAUCCCGGCUAGGAGUUCCUGCUGCAUGGUGGGGGUUGGAAAGUUUCGGCGGUUGGUGAUGGACUCGCGGCUUAUCAGCUUGUUGGUGGGGUAGUGGCUUACCAAGGCUUUGACGGGUAGCCGGCCUGAGAGGGAGACCGGCCACACUAGGACUGAAAUACGACCCAGACUCCUACGGGAGGCAGCAGUGGGGUAGAGAGCACAAGGGGCGGAGGCCUGAUGCAGCAACGCCGCGUGGGGGAUGACGGCCUGCGGGUUGUAAACCGCAGUCGCCUGUGACGAAGCGUGAGUGACGGUAAUGGGUAAAGAAGCACCGGCUAACUACGUG
rnacentral:rRNA from 1 species